GACCGGCUAGCUCAGUUGGUAGAGCAUGAGACACUUACCAUAAUCUCCGGGUGGUAAGUUCAAGCCCCUCAUUGGGCA